rnacentral:rRNA from 1 species
CUGUGAUGCCCUUAGAUGUUCUGGGCCGCACGCGCGCUACACUGACAGAGCCAACGAGUAUCAACCUUGGCUGGAAAGUCUGGGUAAUCUUGUGAAACUCU